CACGUAGGGCGCAAGCGUUGUCCGGAAUUAUUGGGCGUAAAGAGCUCGUAGGCGGUCUGUUGCGUCUGCUGUGAAAACCCGGGGCUUAACCCCUGGCUUGCAGUGGAUACGGACAGACUAGAGGUAGGUAGGGGAGAAUGGAAUUCCCGGUGUAGCGGUGAAAUGCGCAGAUAUCGUAAGGAAGACCAGUGGCGAAGGCGGGUCUCUGGACAGUUCCUGACGCUGAGGCACGAAGGCCAGGGGAGCAAACGGG
rnacentral:rRNA from 1 species